AUACGUAGGGGGCGAGCGUUGUCCGGAAUGAUUGGGCGUAAAGGGCGCGUAGGCGGCCCGGUAAGUCUGGAGUGAAAGUCCUGUUUUUAAGACGGGAAUUGCUUUGGAUACUGUCGGGCUUGAGUGCAGGAGAGGUAAGUGGAAUUCCCAGUGUAGCGGUGAAAUGCGUAGAGAUUGGGAGGAACACCAGUGGCGAAGGCGACUUACUGGACUGUAACUGACGCUGAGGCGCGAAGGUGUGGGGAGCAAACAGGAUUAGAUACCCUGGUAGUCCACACUGUAAACGAUGAAUGCUAGGUGUAGGGGGGUAUCGACCCCUUCUGUGCCGCAGUCAACACAAUAAGCAUUCAGCCUGGGGAGUACGGCCGCAAGGUUGAAACUCAAAGGAAUUGACGGGG
rnacentral:rRNA from 1 species